AGCGAACGCUGGCGGCAGGCCUAACACAUGCAAGUCGAACGAAGCCUUCGGGCUUAGUGGCGGACGGGUGAGUAACACGUGGGAACGUACCUUUUGGCUCGGAGUCACGCAGAGAAAUUUGCGCUAAUACCGAAUGAGCCCUUCGGGGGAAAGAUUUAUCGCCGAAAGAUCGGCCCGCGUUGGAUUAGGUAGUUGGGGUGGUAAAGGCGCACCAAGCCUACGAUCCAUAGCUGGUCUGAGAGGAUGAUCAGACACACGGGGACUGAGACACGGCCCAGACUCCUACGGGAGGCAGCAGUGGGGAAUCUUGCGCAAUGGGCGAAAGCCUGACGCAGCCAUGCCGCGUGAAGGAUGAAGGUCUUAGGAUUGUAAAAUUCUUUUACCAGGGACGAUAAUGACGGUACCUGGAGAAAAAGCCCCGGCUAACUUCGUGCCAGCCGCCGCCGUAAAAC
rnacentral:rRNA from 1 species